rnacentral:lncRNA from 1 species
AUGAUCAGAGCGCGGAAAGGUGGCACGGCAUCAUCAGGGCUGAGGCAGAGCACAGGACUGACUACAGGGAAGGGCUGCCAACGGCGGCCAGUGCUCACUACUGUGGACACCCUCAGCUCUCUCUUGCAGCCCCAGGCAGGCUGGAGCCGUUGCUUACCUCUCUACCUUCCAGUACCUGGACAGAGAUUUCAGUGCAACUGUGUUCGCUUUCACCUGGAAGAAACCAUGAAACAGCUGAAUAAAACAGACUUCUUGAAGAGUGACCAAAUGAAAACACGCGUUUUUCUGAUGAAGGAAAACACAGACCACAUCAUAGCAACUUUCCAUAAAACACAUACAGCACCUAAGGAAAGUCCUUUAUGUCGAGUGAAAGAAAAACCUCUGCAGAGUGCCCUAGAGCGCUACAAAAAGUUUUUUGAAUGGCUGCAUGAGAAGUGCCAGAAAACGGGCUGA